rnacentral:rRNA from 1 species
GGCGGACGGGUCGUAGUAAUGCUUAGGAAUCUGCCUAUUAGUGGGGGACAACAUCUCGAAAGGGAUGCUAAUACCGCAUACGUCCUACGGGAGAAAGCAGGGGACCUUCGGGCCUUGCGCUAAUAGAUGAGCCUAAGUCGGAUUAGCUAGUUGGUGGGGUAAAGGCCUACCAAGGCGACGAUCUGUAGCGGGUCUGAGAGGAUGAUCCGCCACACUGGGACUGAGACACGGCCCAGACUCCUACGGGAGGCAGCAGUGGGGAAUAUUGGACAAUGGGGGGAACCCUGAUCCAGCCAUGCCGCGUGUGUGAAGAAGGCCUUUUGGUUGUAAAGCACUUUAAGCGAGGAGGAGGCUACCGAGAUUAAUACUCUUGGAUAGUGGACGUUACUCGCAGAAUAAGCACCGGCUAACUCUGUGCCAGCAGCCGCGGUAAUACAGAGGGUGCAAGCGUUAAUCGGAUUUACUGGGCGUAAAGCGCGCGUAGGUGGCCAAUUAAGUCAAAUGUGAAAUCCCCGAGCUUAACUUGGGAAUUGCAUUCGAUACUGGUUGGCUAGAGUAUGGGAGAGGAUGGUAGAAUUCCAGGUGUAGCGGUGAAAUGCGUAGAGAUCUGGAGGAAUACCGAUGGCGAAGGCAGCCAUCUGGCCUAAUACUGACACUGAGGUGCGAAAGCAUGGGGAGCAAACAGGAUUAGAUACCCUGGUAGUCCAUGCCGUAAACGAUGUCUACUAGCCGUUGGGGCCUUUGAGGCUUUAG